GCUGAGACAUGAGAUCUUCAGCCUCCAGGCUCUCCAGUUUUUCGUCGAGAGAUUCACUAUGGAAUCGGCAACAACCUAUAACAGAAAAUAAAACCAGAAUUUUUUGCCCUCAUAAAGAAUAUUUGGGUUACCAGCUCUAGCCAUCCAUAGUGCAUACAAAAUUAGAUAUAUCAAGCUACGGAAAAAAAACUGUGGAAAAAUCUUUUCUUCCUGCAAAUGUUUCAUCCUCACUUACGUCAUUGUGGCUUGAAUUCUAAGGAACCCUGAUGAGAAAGAAGGAAAACCAAAGAAAAGCCACUCUUUACCCAACAGUACUGUAUCAACCUGCUGUGAGGGUAUAGAUAAUACACUGGAAACAUUAUUGUGGAAUUUUAAAUGAUUGCUGUGGAGAGAUUGGGCAGAACAUUGAUUUUAAAGCAAAGAAGUAUUUGAGCUUUAUCAUCUUCCUUCCUGUGUGGAAUCUGCCUUGUCUCCUCUCCCUUAGCCAAAUUGUGCUAGGGUUGUGUAAAUAAAUUUGCUUCUUCAGAAAUCCAUUCCGUGGGAGCCUGUUGGCUCCUCUGUGACUGUAUCACUGAAACGAUUUCUGAGUUGAAAUUUAAGUGCUUAUAAAAUGUAAUGCCUAUACUUGGUGAAUUGAGACCAGUCUUUUCAAUGAUUCUAUAACACCACAAAAUAGGCCUGUUGCAUGUCUUCAGAAUAAUUCAGUAGGAUCCCUAAGCCUCUUAAAUAUACAAUCCCAAACACAGAGGACUGGUUGGGAAAAUGACUCUGGUAGAAUACUUCUCAUUUGACCACUUCUGAGAUAAGUCGUUUUCAUAUAUUCUUAGUUGGUUCAGCAUUUUCAUAGGCCCAUUGUAUAAAUUAGGAUUAGAUUUCAACUCUGUACAAACAAAAACCCGAGUAACAUUAGCAAUUAGGUUUGUUUGUUUGAACUUUGAAAUUAGAUAGACUUCCGUUUGAAUCUUUACCCUACCACUUACUCAUUUCAGCACCCUAGGUCUAGCACGAGGAGAGUAAUAGCUACUUUGUAGGGUUGCAGUGAGGGUUAAACAAAAUCAUAUAAAUAAAUUGCCUUAUAUACAGUAGAUACUAAAUCAUAGUCAUUCUAGUUGUUAUUAACAGGUAAGGUAUGCCUUCUAUCUUCAUCACCAUAGGGGUUAUUUUUUAAAUUGAGAUAAUUCAUAUAAAAUUUGCCCUUUUAAGAUAUACAAUUCAGUGGUUUUUAGUGUAUUCACAAAAUGAUAGAACUAUCACCAUGGUCUAAUCCCAGAACAUUUUUGUCACUCCUCACAAGAAACCCUGUACCCACUGGCAGUCAUUGCACAUUACCACUUCCCCCCAGCCCCUGGUAACCACUAAUCUGCUUUCUGUCUCUAUAGAUUUGCCUAUUUUGCAUCUUUAAUAUAGAAGGUAUCAUACAGUAUGUGGUCUUUUGUAUCUGGCUUUUGAAUUAGCAUAAUAUUUCCAAGUUUUAUGUAUGUUGUAGCAUGUGCCACUACUUUAUUCCUUUUUAUGGCUGGAUAAUAUUCCAUUGUAUGGAUAUGCCACAUUUUGUUUAUCCAUCUGUUUGUUCAUGAAUGUUUGAGCUGUUUCUGUUUUUUUGAAUGUUAUGAAUGAUGCUGCUGUGAACAUUGGUGUACAAGGUUUUAUGUGGACAUAUGUUUUCAUUUCUCUUGUGUAUUUACCUAGGAAUGUCUUAGUCAGUUCGGGCUGCUGUAACAAAUUACCCUAGACUGGAUGGCUUACAAACAACAAAUGUAUUUCUCUCAGUUCUGAAAGCUGAAAGUCUGAGAUCAGGGUACCAGCAUGGUUGGGCUCUGGGCCCUCUUCCCUGUUGCCGGCUGUUGACCUCUCAUUGUGUCCUUAUAUGGCUGAAAAAUAGCUAGAGAGCUACUCUCUGGGUUUUUUUUUUUGUUUUUUGUUUUUUGUUUUUUUGUUUUUUUUUUGAGACAAGGUCUUGGUCUGUC